rnacentral:rRNA from 1 species
CCUACGGGUGGCAGCAGUGAGGAAUAUUGGUCAAUGGACGAGAGUCUGAACCAGCCAAGUAGCGUGAAGGAUGACUGCCCUAUGGGUUGUAAACUUCUUUUAUAUGGGAAUAAAAUGUUCCACGUGUGGGAUUUUGUAUGUACCAUAUGAAUAAGGAUCGGCUAACUCCGUGCCAGCAGCCGCGGUAAUAAGGAGGAUCCGAGCGUUAUCCGGAUUUAUUGGGUUUAAAGGGAGCGUAGGUGGAUUGUAAAGUCAGUUGUGAAAGUUUGCGGCUCAACCGUAAAAUUGCAGUUGAAACUGGCAGUCUUGAGUACAGUAGAGGUGGGCGGAAUUCGUGGUGUAGCGGUGAAAUGCUUAGAUAUAACGAAGAACUCCGAUUGCGAAGGCAGUUCACUGGACUGCAACUGACACUGAGGCUCGAAAGUGUGGGUAUCAAACAGGAUUAGAUACCCGAGUAGUC